rnacentral:rRNA from 1 species
CUUGGUCAUUUAGAGGAAGUAAAAGUCGUAACAAGGUCUCCGUAGGUGAGCCUGCGGAGGGAUCAUUACAAGAACGCCCGGGCUUCGGCCUGGUUAUUCAUAACCCUUUGUUGUCCGACUCUGUUGCCUCCGGGGCGACCCUGCCUUCGGGCGGGGGCUCAGGGUGGACACUUCAAACUCUUGCGUAACUUUGCAGUCUGAGUAAACUUAAUUAAUAAAUUAAAACUUUUAACAACGGAUCUCUUGGUUCUGGCAUCGAUGAAGAACGCAGCGAAAUGCGAUAAGUAAUGUGAAUUGCAGAAUUCAGUGAAUCAUCGAAUCUUUGAACGCACAUUGCGCCCCCUGGUAUUCCGGGGGGCAUGCCUGUUCGAGCGUCAUUUCACCACUCAAGCCUCGCUUGGUAUUGGGCAACGCGGUCCGCCGCGUGCCUCAAAUCGUCCGGCUGGGUCUUCUGUCCCCUAAGCGUUGUGGAAACUAUUCGCUAAAGGGUGUUCGGGAGGCUACGCCGUAAAACAACCCCAUUUCUAAGGUUGACCUCGGAUCAGGUAGGGAUACCCGCUGAACUUAAGCAUAUCAAUAAGCGGAGGA